rnacentral:tRNA from 1 species
CAAUUUAAAUCUUUAUAGUAAAGUAUUUCAUUUACAUUGAAAAAAUAUUUGUGCGAAUCAAAUUAAAUUGA